ensembl:lncRNA
UUGGAAAUAAUGCAGACAAUUACAUUGGAAGCAACAUUGUUUCCGGAAUAUUAAGCUGAUCCACCCUCAAAAGAAAAAAGAAAAAAAAGAAGCAGUGCGGCUUGGCAGGGUCGUGUUUCGGAGGACACAUGGCUCUCGACCUUCCCCUCUCCCGAGUCCGUAUGGGAGUUGCAGCAAUGGGGCAAGACUGUAACAAUUGGAGAGAAAAAGUUGAAUAAAUGGUGAAGUAUUCGCUGGGAAAAGUGGAGUCUGUUAGAGUGACCAGGAGUGGUCUUCUUUUGAUUAAUUGUAUUCAUGAAGAACAGAGGAAAAUUGCAGUGAGCCUCAAAAGAAUCCGAACAACAGAAGUUUUGUGUUUUGAACUUCGGAGUAGAGCACCCGUCAAAGGAGUCAUCUCAGGGGUGACUAUGGAUGUUCAGGUUGAAUACCUGAAGAAAAUUCCUGAGUGAAUGGAGAAAAAGAAGAAAGUCUGCUUUUUAUAAAAAGCAUAUACCUACGCAUGUGAAGAGCUUUCAUCCCCAAACGAUUGCAGUGUAAGAAUUGUAAAGGAUUUGGCCAUGUUACAAGUGUGUACAGACGGAAAGAGUAUAUUGAUGAACGGUUUGUAGAAGGGUGACGGUGUUGCAGUUGUGGUGGGGAUCAUUAUCCAGAGUUCUUGGAGUGCCCUGUAAGGGUUAAGGAGAUUGAGGUAGCAAAAGUUAGAGCAGUCAAUUGAGUCUCCUAUGAGGAGGCAAUUAAAAUAAUUGAGAUAACAAGUAAUGCUAGUGAAGAUAUGGUACCACAGCCUGGAGUAAAUGUUUGCUGCCAGUAAAAAGAUAGUGUGUUAAAUAUGUGGCGUUCAUUGCCACGUUAUGAAAGGUCUCAAAGAAGCCACAUUAUUUUGUAUUGAGGUCCAUGUUUACCAAUUGAACACUGCAUUCAAGACACUUAAAGAUAAGCAAAAACAGAUUACGAUUGAAUUGUUUAGUUUAGUAGAAGAAUGUGGUGAACAGUCCUCCGGCAACAAUGAGGGAAGGAAUUAUCACAGUUAAUGGUCUAAGUUUUCUACUGUGGGCUAGUUCUCUUUCUCAACCCUCCUUCAUCUUUUCCCCCUCUUUCUCUCGCCCCCUCUUCCUCUCAUCCUCCCCUCUCCCCAUGCAGGUGCAAAGGUGAGCCCUUCACCAUUAGGAAAUAUGUCUGCAUUUCUGCCUUCAAUGUUCAGUAUGUUGCUCAUUCCUGAACAUGACAUGGCUAGAUCAGCAAGGAGCUGUCGGAUAAGUACGAGUGGAUGGUGAACCCGGAGAAGGCCCUGGAGGACUCCAAGACCCCACUGUUCAAAGAGGAACCCAUGAGUGAUGUUGCCUUCCCCGUCCGUGAGGAGCCUAAGGUGGACCUGGGCUCCGGGGAGCAGACACUCCCCAUGGGGAUGCUGGGGGCCCCUCAACGAGAGUCAGUCUGGUAAUACCCCAUAAUACUGUAUGAAUUUGGACUGUGAAGCUAGCAUUGUCAUUUUUGGGGCUCCGUACUCCAGCAUUUUGGAAUUUUGGAUUUUAUUUGAAUUAUUAUGAGGCGACAAUACAGAAUGUGGUCUGAAGUGAAGUAUUUGAUCUCAUACGCAAUGACGAGACUUUGUCUGACUACUUACAUUCAUUUUGAUGCUACCACGAUUAUGACAAAUCAUUAAUGAAUCAUGAGUAAUGACGAGUGAGAUAGGUACAGAGGCAUAAUGAUGAUACCCUCCCAAAAAUGCUAAAGUGACAUUCUGAACAAUUGUGUCAUAUAGAUCAUUUGAUGUCAAAUCCAAAAUCCUGGAGAAUAGAGAGACAAAAUAAACAAAUGUCCAAAUAUACUGAACAAAAAUAUAAAUGCAACAAUUUCAACGAUUUUACUGAGUUACAGGUCAUACAAGGAAAUCAGUCAAUUUAAAUUCAUUAGGCCAUAAUCUAUGGAUUUCACAUGACUGGGCAGGAGCGCAGCCAUGGACAGGCCUGGGAGGACCCAAUGAGUUGGAAGUAUUGGGCUGCGGUUUGGGUUUGCGGUUGUGUGGCCGGUUGGACAUACUGCCAAAUUUUCUAAAAUGACAUUGGAGGCAGCUUAUGGUAGAGAAAUGAACAUUCAAUUCUCUGGUAACAGCUCUGUUGGACAUUCCUGUAGUCAGCAUGUCAAUCGCACACUCCAUCAGAACUUUGAGACAUGUGUGGCAUUGUGUUGUGUGACAAAACUGCCCAUUUUAGAGUGGCCUUUUAUUGUUCCCAGCACAUGGUGCACUUGUGUAAAUAUCAUGCUGUUUAAGCAGCUUCAUGAUAUGCCACACCUGUCAGUUGGAGUAUUUUGGCAAAGGAGAAAUGUUCACUAGGGAUGUAAACACAUUUGUGCACAUUUUAGAGAAAUAAACACUUUGUGCUGUGGCAAAUGGCAGGGAGAGAUGAUGAGAGUGGUGUCUUGCAGCCUGCUGGCUCCACCCCCGAGCCUUUUAUGAACUUCCUGUCCCAAUGAGGCAAAGCUGUUGGAUCAUUAAGCCAUUGAGUGCUUGGGGAUAAAAGAGGAAGCGGGCUGCAUUAAGAGGACUGAGAGGGAAAUGUGUGUUAUGGAGAAUGUGAGAAGCGUGAGAAUUCGCUGUAUGAUUACCCGUUGUGAACUGGUUGCUGGAUCCCCACCUUUCACACUGUGUGCAAAUAUCCCAAAUAAAUUAUCCAUUUGCAUUCUAGUCGUGCUCCCUGUGUGUGUUUGGUUAUUGAACUUGGUGACGUGGAAACUCCACACCCUAGAGCCUGCUACAGUGUGUAUGGAAAAUUCUGUGAUCUUUUAUUUCAGCUUAUGAAACAUGGGACCAACACUUUACAGGUUGUGUUUAUAUUUCUGUUCAGUAUACACUACCGUUCAAAAGUUUGGGGUCACUUAGAAAUGUCCUUGUUUUUGAAAGAAAAGCAAAUUUUCUGUCCAUAAAAAAACAUAAAAUUGCUCAGAUACAGUGUAGACAUUGUUAAUGUUGUAAAUGACUAUUGUAGCUGGAAAUGGCAGAUUUCUUUUAUGGAAUAUUUACAUAGGCUCCAAUGGCACAUUGUGUUAGCUAAUCCAAGUUUAUAAUUUUAAAAGGCUAAUUGAUCAUUAGAAAACCCUUUUGCAAUUAUGUUAGCACAGCUGAAAACCUUUGUACUGUAAUUGAACUCACAAAUGCUGAUGCUCCAGAUACUCAACUAGUCUAAAGAAGGCCAGUUUUAUUGAACCUUUUAUAACAUCCAUUUGACGGUCAAAUACAUUUGAACUGAACUGAAUGUACAUUUAUAUACAAAUUGAUAAGGAAAUGUUGAUUACAUACAGUGCCUUUACUUUUUCCACAUUUUGUUGUGAUAUAGCCUGAAUUUUAAAAUAUUAUUUUGUCACUGGCCUACACACAAUACCCCAUAAUGUCACAGUGGAAUUAUGUUUUUAAAAUUGUAUUUUAUAAAUUAAUUAAAAAAGAAAAUCUGAAAAUCAACCAGAAAUGCCUUGCAAAGAAGGGUAGACAUUUUCGCGGAACAGAUCUGAAAUGAUUGGAUGGGACAUGUUCUCACUCGAUGAACUGAUGCUGAUGACAUAAGACAUUGCAAUUUCAUUCCUUAUAGUGUUUUAUGAUUAUGUAUAUAGAAAAUAUGAACUCAGAUAAAUGCUUUCUUUGAGACGGUGUUAAUGUCAAAAUGAAUAAAUGCCCUCUUUUGGAUGCUGAAGGUAUUAAUGUGUGGACUGACACUAUUUACCAACUGAAUUUAAUAAUCAUGACCCAGGUCUUGUCCC